UACGGAGGGUGCAAGCGUUGUUCGGAAUGACUGGGCGUAAAGCGCACGUAGGCGGGUUUUUAAGUCGGAUGUGAAAUCCCCGGGCUCAACCUGGGAACAGCAUACGAAACUGGAGAUCUUGAAUGCUCGAGAGGCCAGUGGAAUUCCAGGUGUAGGAGUGAAAUCCGUAGAUAUCUGGAGGAACACCAGAGGCGAAGGCGGCUGGCUGGCGAUGCAUUGACGCUGAGGUGCGAAAGCGUGGGGAGCAAACAGG
rnacentral:rRNA from 1 species